rnacentral:rRNA from 1 species
UACGAACCGUCCAAACGUUAUUCGGAAUCACUGGGCUUAAAGGGUUUGUAGGCGGCCACGCAAGUGGGGUGUGAAAUCCCUCGGCUCAACCGAGGAAUUGCGCUCCAAACUGUGUGGCUUGAGGGAGACAGGGGUAAGCGGAACUGAUGGUGGAGCGGUGAAAUGCGUUGAUAUCAUCAGGAACACCGGUGGCGAAAGCGGCUUACUGGGUCUCUUUCUAGAACGAC